UGGAAGUUUGUACCCUUUGACCAAUGUCUCUCUCCACCCCUCAGCCCCUGGUAACCAUCAUUCUUCUCUUUGUUUCUGUGAGUUUAGCUUUUUUAGAUUGCACAUAUUCAAUAAUAUACUUCUGUCGUGUCACCUCUUCAUUAAGAAGAGGUACUACAGUAACUUUCAUUCCAGAAAAAAUCAUAAGACUCUAAUAUUUUAUCAUAAAUACAGGAUAUCACAAAUGAAGAUGAAGUCCAUUCUGUAUCACAUAUCCAGGAUCAUGUGAGACAGGGAAAGUAAUAUUAACAAGAUGUAUAUUCAAUUCAAAGUCAUUCUGAUUAACAUUCUUCACCAGUUUCCUGUUGUAGACAAGAAUUUACUAAAAUCUUCUAUUUCACUGAACUAUCCUCUAAAACUUACGGUUUUAAACCAUUUUAGUUAAUUGGUAAUAAAAUGACAUAAGGAAUAAAUGAGGAAACAAAAAAGUGAUUGCUCUGUUUAGCUUAUAACUCUAAUAUGUAGAGAAUUAUAUCAGAACCCUAAUUUUUUGUUUCUUUCCUUUCAGAUCCUAAUUCUACAUCAUUGGUAAUUCCUUAACCAAAAGUUGGUUAUCAACUUUGUGAAUUAUACUUCUGUUAUCUUUCAUUAUCACUAGCAAAUAGUUAAUGUCAAUCACUAUGAGUCAGUCAUUACCAAUUCCAUAUGGAAUUGGGAUAUACUCACCGAUAUAUCCCAUCUAUUUCUAACUAUAAAUUUAUAUUGCGUUUCAAAGUAAACCAUUACUCUCGCACCUGUGUUCAUGCUUAAAUAUUAUAUAUUCUUCAAAGGCCCACUUCAAAAGCCUUCCUCGAGUCAUUAUUUAGAAUUUCUCACCUCUUCCAAGUGACAUGAGCAUUUUAUUUUUACCUCACUGCUAGCACUUACCACUUCUUCUCCUCUGAUAAUUUUGUGUACCACUUUUCUCUGUCCUAAGAGACUGUAAGCACCUUGAAGACAGGGAUUAUGUCAUAGACACAUUUUCAUCACCUUAUAAUACCUAAAUGCAUUGCCUCUCACAGAAAAACUACUAAACUCAGAAGGAGAACCAAACAGAGAAUGUGCAUUUCAUUGGAAGGAGUUUAUAAGCCUAUAUAAAACUAGGAAAUUUACUACAAAUUGAGGAUGAACAAGAAUUACAGAAUGCUAACUCAUGAUGUCUAUAUUUUUGUGAAGUAAGGGUCUAGAAUUUGCACUGUAUAGUUUACUCUGUGUAUGUCUGGUCCAGUGACAUUUAGUAUGUGACUUGAUGAAUGCAACUUUCUGCCCUAGGCUCUGAAUCACAUUUGACACAGGGGUUGCAUGGACAACAAAAUUUAGCAACUUGUUUCAAAGCCAGUGGGAAGUGAAGGUACUAACCAUAUGGCUGUUACCAUACCCUACCUCCUGGGAUACCUGGUGAAGAGUCUGGUGCCAAGCUGAUCAACUAUACUAAGCCAACAUGGUGGCUUUGAAAAUUAAGAGCACGCGGAACACAAUCAAGAAGGAGUGAAAGAAGUCAUUCAUGUGCCAGCGCGGGAGCUCACAGUCUUCGUUGAUUUUGCAGACACAUUCUUUGUAGCUCUUACCAAACAGCUGCAUGCCGACCACGGCAAAGAUGAAGACGAUGAUCGCCAGCACUAAGCACUUUUAGAGCUCAGUUUGGAUGUCUCAGAAGAACUCUCGGAGAGGCCCAUAAUUCUGCUUCUCCCAAUGCUUGUAUAUUCAGCUGCUGCCAUUGCUAUUGCCUGUUGAACCAAGAGGUCACACACACACUUCUUCGAUGUUUGCCUGGUUCUGUUCUUCGUAGGCCAUGGCCACCACAGCCAGGAUCAAGUUUAUUAGAUAAAAGGAGCCCAGGAAGAUCACCACAACAAAGAAGAUCAUAAAGAAGAAAGGCUUGAAACUAUCCAAUCACCUCGUGGUGAGGUUUUCUGGAAGUAAUUUUUUUACUUUCUUAAGCCUUUAGACUAAAACGAAACAAAUAUUACAUACCCUGAAUCUGUGCUGAAGCCACAAAGGAGAGCAUCUUUGGAUCCCUCCAAGUAAUAAAAAUAUUCUGUUUAGGAAGAAAUUGAACAAUAUAACAUUAUGGAGUGUAAGCUUUAAGAGUGAUAUAGCAGUGGAUUCCGCAGACAUUUAUGCUUCAGGUUGCCCAUGAAGAGCUGCAGCCCGAUCAGCGCAAAGACGCUCAGACAGAACACGGUCAGGAUCAUGACAUCAGAGAG